UGUCUGCUCCACCUGCGGCAAGAGCUUUGCCUUGUUGUCGGGGCUGCGGGCUCACGGGCCGGUGCACAGCAGUGAGCGGCCCUUCACCUGCUCCGACUGCGGCAAAGGCUUCAAGUCGUCCAGGGAACUGAAGGUGCACGGGCACGUGCACACCAGCGAGCGCCCCUACACCUGUAGCGACUGCGGCAAGGGCUUCACCCACUCUGCCAGCCUGCUGG